rnacentral:rRNA from 1 species
UACGUAGGGGGCAAGCGUUGUCCGGAAUCAUUGGGCGUAAAGCGCGUGUAGGCGGCCAGGUAAGUCCGUUCUGAAAGCCCGGGGCUCAACCCCGGGAGGCGGAUGGAUACUGCUUGGCUCGAGUCCGGAAGAGGCGAGUGGAAUUCCCGGUGUAGCGGUGAAAUGCGCAGAUAUCGGGAGGAACACCAAUGGCGAAGGCAGCUCGCUGGGACGGUACUGACGCUGAGACGCGAAAGCGUGGGGAGCAACAGGG